CCUGCGCCAGGCGCCGGCCGCCCCGCCGCGGGGCUCCGCUCUCCCCUGUCCUGCGCGUUUCUCCGGCGUCGCCGCGCGCCUGGGGGCCUCUCCGCAGCGUGUCCUGCGCGUCAGAGGAUUCUUUGGGGCCUAAGAGAAUGUUAGGUUGUUUUUCCCAGGCACGUGUGGACAGGUCACCUGAGGACACUCGUUGGAAUAUGGUUACUUUUGCUCACGCCUCAGCCAACAAGGGACGAGCCCCUCCUUGAGAGAUUGGAAUGAAAGAUGAAUACAGUAUGGGUAAUUUUCUCCAGUGCAAAAAGAAGCUGUGUUUUAUUUGCCUGUGGAUGUAUCCCCAGUGUGCUGCCCAAGGAAAUUCCUUCUUAAGCAACUUCCUGAAGAUGGAAAGAGUUCUAGGGUUUUUGCAAUUCAUUCAUUCAUUAAUCAUUAUGGCAAGAAGCAGGACAGAGGAGGCAGCGAAUAUCUAAGCGAUUCGAUCAAAGCCAAAAGUCUGUGUGUCCAGGGAGGCAACAGCACUUAUGCGAAAGAAUUUUGGAAAUGAGAAAUCGACUGGUUAAUUUCAAAGAUUUUCAGAAAGGUCAAGACAGGGAAUAGAAGCACCCUCUGAAAGCCUCUCUUCUUAAUAGACCUGCAUUUAAAAAGAUUUAGGUUAUUAAACUUUGAUGCUUUGACAUAAAACAUAAGUAGAACCCACCAGAAAAGAAUUUCACCUCAAUAUGCCAUCAUCUCACCUUCCGGAAAUGGUGUGCCGAUGCUUGUCAGGCCACAGUGGUUGGCUGGGUGUUUAUCCUCCAGACACCCUGUGUGGCCAAUUAGGAACAGUACUGACAGUAAGCGCCUUCAGAUUUCAGCCAGCAUAAAAGACACAGGCGUCAGAAACACUGAUGCAAUGAAGCGCUAAUAUCGGAUUGCAUCAUAUGAUCCUAGGUGUGGUGCUCCUGAAACUGGUUUUUCUUGAGGCCAUGCCGCAGAGAAAAGAGAAAAGCACCUUAUGUAUAAUACCCAGGAACUGGCCCUACUCGUCAGAUGACAAAAGUAAUUGUGCGAGGACAUGCCUCAGUUCCGCACCACUAUUCUCCUGGGGAAAGCCAGUGUGACUUUCCCUGCCAAAAUGGGUAUGCUGCAGAAAUUCAUCAGUUUAGGUGUGUUGUGCUGAGUGAGGCUUAUGUAACAAGGGCAACAGCGAGGCACCUACCCAGGCAAGCUGGAAGGGAGGACACUUCUCCAAAACGGGCCAGUAAUUUUCUCUCACUUUAAUUGAGGAAAUUCUUUGGGAGCACAACAGCUCGGUGCAAAGCCUAGAGAGGGGAAGGGAAAGAAAGUGGCUGAGAUUUCUUCAGCACUUACUGGAAGCCUAAGGCUGCCCCGAGCACUUCACAUGCAGGACUGACUUGUGGGCAUGUGGGCUCCAGCUGCCAGCCUGCCAUGGCGGGGCAGGCUGUCUGGUCUUGGUGGUUUUGGUAAGAUCGUAUGUCAAAUUCGAUUAGGCUGCAUGUAAGGCCCCUCUGAGAAGUGUGAUUCUAUUCAACCUGGCCACAGAAUGCUGCACCUCCAGUCAGAAGAUUAAUUUUCUGGUCCAGUGUGUAUAAAAAUGAAGCCACUGAUCAUGGGAAGUUGUUCCUAUUGUUGCGUGGGGAUGAAAUUGGGUCAGAAUGGGAUGAUACAUCUGCUGUUUGCACAGCCCUCGGCAGCCACCAGCUACGUGUGCACUUGCAGUGUGGCUAGUCCAUAUUGAGAGGUUCUGUGAGUGUAAAACACAAACUGGAUUUCGAAGACUUAGAGCAGUUAAAAAAAAGAAUAAAAUAUCUCAAUUAUAUUGAUUACAUGCUGAAAUGAUAAUAUUUUGAAUAUAUUGGGAUAAUCUAGUAUUAAAAUUAAUUUCACCUGUUUCUUUUUACUCUUCAUUGUGGCUGCCACAAAAAUUAAAAUUACAGAUGUAAACUUUUGUGGCUCGCCUUCUGUUUCUGUUGGACAGCACUGCCUUUGAAAGUCCAGCUGGAAAGACAGUACUUUGGUCUGGACCUGAUGGGCUCCAGUUUCCCCCAUAGGUAAAAUGGUGAGAUGGAACUUAGACUAAAUUUCUCUUGAGGUUACUUCAGGGUUUGGUGGUCCCUGAUUCUGAUAAUGGUUGUUGGGGUCAGGGGAUAUCCAUGUUAUAGUAUUUGGAGAGCUGUUGUCUGGGAGGUGGAGAACUGGUAACACUAUUUCUGCCACUAAGUCAAGAAAUUUUGGAGUUCAAAGUGUCUUUAAAUAUUAUUGUUAGUCCUUUAAAACUCCAGUCUGUGAGAACCUCUUGGGCCAGGCUUGUUAUUUAUUCGUCUUUGUUUUUCCAGCAAGUGCCCAAGAUGGGCUGCAUGUAGUAAGCUGUCAAUAUAUGUUUGUUGACCUAAAUAGUUUCCAAAGGAAGAACUGAAGCCCAGAGAGGCUCUGAGAUCUCCUAAGGCCACUCAGCUCACUGGUGUGGAUCCAGGUCUCUUACAGGCCUCUCAAACCAGUCGUGGAAACCCUUGGUAUGGUCCCCAGACCAUAUCUGUAUCCAUGGGGGGCUUGCUAGAGACACUGACACUCAGGCCUGGUCCCAGACCUACUGAAUCAGAUUCUGCAUUUUUAACCAUAUUGCCCAGGUGAUUAAAGUCUCAGGAGUGCCGCUCCGAGUCCUACUAUCAUUUCUUGAGGAAGCCUCAUUGUUCAUGCUGUGUGGAUGCUGUCCAUGAUAUAGGUCCAGGAGGUGAAGGAGACAGGGCAACCAGGACUCACCUAGAUGCCAUAAUGAAGUCUAUGAAACAAGGAAAUUCAACAAAUAUUUACUGAGCCUCCACUCUGCCCAGCACUUGGCAGCCAGUGCACCCACAACACUUGACAAUUUUGCCCCUGGACAAUCCCAGUAUUCCUAUUGAAAUUCGGGCGAGGCCAGAAGAAAUUUGAAAUGGAAACUGACACACCUUGGGAGUUAAAUUCAAUUUUUCAAACCCAGGAAAAGCAAGGUGGAAAUCAAUUUCAUCACAGUCUGCAUCUUAGUUUCUAACCACCGUCCCUCCUGAUUCUGCACGAGUGUUUGCAUUCAAGUUGUGUUCCCAAAUGGUGAUAGAACCACAAUUUGUAGAAUUGGUUUCUAAUCUAAUAGCCCUUUGGUCCAACUUCUAAGACUAUCCCUCACCCAAACUUGCACAGAAAAGUCAUGUUCUGCAGAGAUGCCAUUUUCCCCUGGUGGUUGGAGCUAUGGAUAUAUGGUUUUGAGACUAGAGAAAGAAACAAAGAGACAAACAAAUUGCAGGUCUUACAGAUGUUCAGCCAGCAUCGAUUGUGAAAUGGAGCCUGCGGCCAGGUGAGUUUCCGAUGAGGUCAAGAAACAUGAGGGUUUGAACGGACAAGAAGAGCCAAGGCUUUGGGCUCAGCUGUAGUCGUGUCAUUUGUCUGGAAGGUUAAUGACAAGGCAGGAAGGAGCCUAGUGCAGCCUGUUUAACGUGUCAGGUGCCCUGGUAUUCAAGGAGCAUUGCAUUUCAGGCCACGCCGUGCAAAACCUUUUGAAAAAUGAAGAAAUCAGUCCAACGGGGAGUCCUGACAGUGCCAGACGUCUGGACUGUCUCCUGGCCGCUGUCACUGUCUCCAGGGUAUGGACUGUUCACCUCUCACGUGGGACCACUGGUUCCUUCCCUGCUGCAUAUUAAAGAGGCAGUGAAAGGGCUUCCUACACUGUAAAGCACCGUUCCCAUCUAAAAGACCCUCAGCGACAGUGGAUAGUGUGGCUUCAGGUCAACACAGCCUCCUGCCGCAUCUCUCCUUCAGCCCUCUCUGGGAAGAGUUGGCAAGGAAGCGGCAGAGCCCACCCUUUGUGCCUCAGUUUCCCUGCUGUGGAAUCAUUAGUACAUCUUUCCAGAGAACCUGUUAGUGAGUCAACAAUAGUGAUGUUUUAUUGUUUACUAAGGUAUAAUAUAAAAUAACAAUAUAAAGAUAAAAUGUGAUAAUGUAAA